rnacentral:rRNA from 1 species
AGGUAGCGAAAUUCCUUGUCGGGUAAGUUCCGACCUGCACGAAUGGCGUAACGAUGGCCACACUGUCUCCUCCCGAGACUCAGCGAAGUUGAAAUGUUUGUGAUGAUGCAAUCUCCCCGCAGCUAGACGGAAAGACCCCAUGAACCUUUACUGUAGCUUUGCAUUGGAUUGCGAACCGACUUGUGUAGGAUAGGUGGGAGGCUUUGAAGUCAGGACGCCAGUCUUGAUGGAGCCAUCCUUGAAAUACCACCCUGGUUUGUUCGCGGUUCUAACCUUGGCCCGUGAUCCGGGCUGGAGACAGUGCAUGGUGGGCAGUUUGACUGGGGCGGUCUCCUCCUAAAGAGUAACGGAGGAGUUCGAAGGUACGCUUGGUACGGUCGGACAUCGUGCCUAAAGUGCAAUGGCAAAAGCGUGCUUAACUGCGAGACUGACAAGUCGAGCAGGUGCGAAAGCAGGACAUAGUGAUCCGGUGGUUCUGUAUGGAAGGGCCAUCGCUCAACGGAUAAAAGGUACUCCGGGGAUAACAGGCUGAUUCCGCCCAAGAGUUCAUAUCGACGGCGGAGUUUGGCACCUCGAUGUCGGCUCAUCACAUCCUGGGGCUGUAGUCGGUCCCAAGGGUAUGGCUGUUCGCCAUUUAAAGUGGUACGCGAGCUGGGUUCAAAACGUCGUGAGACAGUUUGGUCCCUAUCUGCCGUGGGCGUUGGAAAUUUGAGGGGGGCUGCUCCUAGUACGAGAGGACCGGAGUGGACAUUCCUCUGGUGUACCGGUUAUGACGCCAGUCGUAUCGCCGGGUAGCUAAGAAUGGAAGAGAUAAGCGCUGAAAGCAUCUAAGCGCGAAACUUGCCUCAAGAUAAGAUUUCCCGGGGACUCGAUCCCCCUAAAGGGUCGUCGAAGACUACGACGUUGAUAGGUCGGGUGUGGAAGCGCAGCAAUGCGUUAAGCUAACCGAUACUAAUUGCCCGUGCGGCUUGAUCCU